GCCGAAGUGUCUUCUCCUCAUGAAUGCACAAUAUUUAGUGAUAAAAAUUAAGUUUUCGUUUUGCUGCUAGCUAACCUCUAGACACUUCGUGUUGCUGAUUUUCAUUGUCAAAAACGUAUUUGAAGCAUGAGUGACAACAUAAUGCAUUUCUUUCAAGUGCCAUCUGAGAAUGAAGAAUUGAUGUUAUAGCAGUUUAUGGCGACAACGAGAGAAACGGACGGAGAGAGGACAACUCAGCCCAGUAUCUAGCAUUUUACAACUUGCCAGUCUGAUGUUAAAGACGCAUCUCAGCAUUCCUUGCAAUCGAGAACAAACCAACCGAUUAAGUUGGUAUCAAAGAUUCACCGCAACUUCCAACAUGUAUUACCAUGCAACCAAUAAUUUACCCAUCUGAUAUUUAACACUCAGCUCAUCAUGUUUUACCUUGCAUUCGACAACUUAUCAGUCUGAAAAACUACAUCCAGCUUGUACUACCUCGCAAUCGACUAUUGUCCAUUUUUCACUAGAAGUCACUUCGACACGCCUCCUCGAACGCAGAGUUCCAUUUUACCCGGGGGUGAUCGGUAAGCUAUCCACGCGCUUCUAAAUGAGACAACCAAACAGCCU